UAGUCCACGCCCUAAACGAUGCUCACUCGGUAUUGGCGAUAUAUUGUCAGUGCCUAAGGGAAACCAUUAAGUGAGCCACCUGGGGAGUACGUUCGCAAGAAUGAAACUCAAAGGAAUUGACGGGGAUCCGCACAAGCGGUGGAGCAUGUGGUUUAAUUCGAUGAUACGCGAGGAACCUUACCUAGGCUCUAAUGCCUCUGCUACCCCUUGAAAGAGGGGGUUCCUUCGGGACAGAGUGCAAGGUGCUGCAUGGUUGUCGUCAGCUCGUGUCGUGAGAUGUUGGGUUAAGUCCCGCAACGAGCGCAACCCUCACUGUUAGUUGCCAGCAUUUAGUUGGGCACUCUAGCGGAACUGCCGGUGCUAAGCCGGAGGAAGGUGGGGAUGACGUCAAGUCCUCAUGGCCCUUACGGGUAGGGCUACACACGUGCUACAAUGGCGCUGACAGAGGGUUAAUCCCUAAAAGGCGUCUCAGUUCGGAUUGUCUUCUGCAACUCGAAGACAUGAAGUUG
rnacentral:rRNA from 1 species